AUAAAGAUGACCGAGUUCAGGUAGAAAACUGUAAAUUUUCCAACGAGAUUUAUUCUCUCUUUAUA
rnacentral:tRNA from 1 species